rnacentral:tRNA from 1 species
GGCUUUGUAGUCUAGUAGUAAGGACACUUACCUCUCACCCUGGAGUCCCGGGUUCGAUCCCCAGUCGAGGUGU